GUGGAGAGAGAGGUGGGUUAAGGUGGAGAGAGAGGUGGGUUAAGGUAUGCCUAAACCACUCUGAUGCAGGUGCUGCUCAGUGAUGCCAGAUGAGAGGUUUUAUCAUGUGUAAAUUGUCCCUUUUAAUAGCUUUGAUGGGUAGAUGGAGGUUUAAUCAUAUUUAAUAACUGAUGGGUAGAUGGAGGUUUAAUCAUAUUUAAUAACUGAUGGGUAGAUGGAGGUUUAAUCAUAUUUAAUAACUGAUGGGUAGAUGGAGGUUUAAUCAUAUUUAAUAACUAAUGGGUAGAUGGAGGUUUAAUAUUUAAUAACUUUGAUAGGUAGAUGGACGUUUAAUAUUUAAUAACUGAUAGGUAGAUGGAGGUUUAAUCAUAUUUAAUAACUGAUAGGUAGAUGGAGGUUUAAUCAUAUUUAAUAACUGAUGGGUAGAUGGAGGUUUAAUCAUAUUUAAUAACUGAUAGGUAGAUGGAGGUUUAAUCAUAUUUAAUAACUUUAAUGGAUAGAUGGAGGUUUAAUCAUAUUUAAUAUCUUUAAUAGGUAGAUGGAUAGACAGGAGGUUUAAUAGCUUUGAUAUUAACUUAACAUUAGUAUUAAGUAGUGGUCAGAUAUUAAAUAAACAUUCCAUCUAACCAUGAGGAAGAGUGUGUAGAAAUAUAUCACAUUUAGGGACAGAAACUGAAUAUAACUGGAUUAUAUAAUGUCCACAGAAUAAAUUGAUGUGAAUUAAUAAGUGUGUGUGUGUGUGUGUGUGUGUGUGUGUGUGUGUGUGUGUGUGUGUGUGUGUGUGGUUUCCCAGGUGGAGUUUGAGGAUGGUUCCCAGGUGGUAGCUAAGCGAGAGGAUGUCUAUACUCUGGAUGAAGACCUUCCCAAAAAGGUGAAAGGGCGACUCUCGACGGCCUCCAGCAUGCGUUUCCAGGACGCCUUCUUCACGACCCAGGGAGAGAGGAAGAGACAGAGAACGCCCAACUCCCGUUUCCAGAAAGACUAUGUGGCCCUCCCAGGCCUCCUUACCGCCAGCCAGAGCACAUGGGAACCCCGCAGCCCUAAAGGGAAAUGAUAGAGGGGGGGAGAGGUGGCUGGAGUGAUGACAAAUGAAUGCACUGAUGUAUGUGUGCGUGGGUGUAGCUGUGGGAUGUGAAGGUGUGUGUGUGUGUGUGUGUGUGUGUCGGGGGGGGGUAGGAAAGAGGGCUGGGCAGAGGACAGUUUUGAUUGGACUGUAUUGUCCUGAAGAAAGGUUAUCAUGUGUUGUGGUUACCCAGUGCUUUCUCAUAAGGCAGGGAAUUUAAAACAACAACUACAAAUAUUUGUCACCUGAGUUGCGUUUUUUUUUAAUAAUAAAAAGACAAAAACACGUUUUUCUUUGUAUAUUUACAAAAACAAACGGAGCUUCUUUUUUUCUUCUUCUUCUUUCUAAACAAGCCUACAAUACAAUGGAAUCUGUUGUAUCUACAUGAGGAUUUGGAAUCUGUUGUAUCUACAUGAGGAUUCGGAAUCUGUUGUAUCUACAUGAGGAUUUGGAAUCUGUUGUAUCUACAUGAGGAUUUGGAAUCUGUUGUAUCUACAUGAGGAUUUGGAAUCUGUUGUAUCUACAUGAGGAUUUGGAAUCUGUUGUAUCUACAUGAGGAUUCGGAAUCUGUUGUAUCUACAUGAGGAUUUGGAAUCUGUUGUAUCUACAUGAGGAUUCGGAAUCUGUUGUAUCUACAUGAGGAUUUGGAAUCUGUUGUAUCUACAUGAGGAUUGAUUUUUAAUAUGAAUGCAUCCCCAGUCCCAGCCUGUGUCCCAAAUGGCAUCCUAUUCCCUAUAUACUGGGCCCUGGUUUGAAAGUAGUGCACUUCUAUAAGGGAAUAGGGUGCUAUUUGGGAGGCUGUCCCAGUGUUUUCCCUCUCCGCAUGUCAGCUGUCGUCUGCUACUUCUUCUCCUCGGCCGCGUCUCCAUACUCUCAGAGCGGCUUCCUCUCCUCAUGUCCUUGUAUACUCGUCUCCUUUCCUUGUAUCCUCCAUUUCACACUGACCCGAAAGGACUGGACAGGUGAAGGCGAACACACGAAAGACAUCGGCCGUUUUUGACGUUUGCUUUAAUUUGUCUGGGUCUUGAUCAGAUCAGUGCAGAUUAAGUCGAGGGGUUGAGAAAAAAAGGAGACGAGAAGAGGAAGCAACCAGAGUUGCUACUGUCGCUGUGUUGAAUAAAAAACACGGUGAUCUAAUUAUUUAAUUUAAUAUUUGUAUUUAUUUUUAACUUUCAAAAAAGGUAAAAGUAUUACUAACUGCUGUAAGGAAAACAAUAAAUAAUUUCCAUGUC